GGGUAGCAAUACCUGGUGGCGAGUGGCGCACGGGUGCGUAACGCGUAUGCAACCUACCUAAAACUGGGGAAUAGCCUUCUGAAAGGAAGAUUAACACCGCAUAACAUCAUGAAACGGCAUCGUUUUAUGAUCAAAUCUCCGGAGGUUUUAGAUGGGCAUGCGUGACAUUAGCUAGUUGGUGAGGUAACGGCUCACCAAGGCUACGAUGUCUAGGGGGUCUGAGAGGAUGAUCCCCCACACUGGUACUGAGACACGGACCAGACUCCUACGGGAGGCAGCAGUAAGGAAUAUUGGACAAUGGGCGCAAGCCUGAUCCAGCCAUGCCGCGUGAAGGAUGACGGCCCUCUGGG
rnacentral:rRNA from 1 species